rnacentral:rRNA from 1 species
GUAGCUGGUCUGAGAGGAUGRCCAGCCACACUGGAACUGAGACACGGUCCAGACUCCUACGGGAGGCAGCAGUGGGGAAUAUUGGACAAUGGGGGAAACCCUGAUCCAGCAAUGCCGCGUGUGUGAAGAAGGCCUGAGGGUUGUAAAGCACUUUCAGUGGGGAGGAGGAUUGMUAGGUUAAGAGCUAGUUAAUUGGACGUUACCCACAGAAGAAGCACCGGCUAACUCCGUGCCAGCAGCCGCGGUAAUACGGAGGGUGCRAGCGUUAAUCGGAAUUACUGGGCGUAAAGGGUGCGUAGGUGGUUAGGUAAGUUAUCUGUGAAAUCCCCGGGCUUAACCUGGGAAGGUCAGAUAAGACUGGUGGACUCGAGUAUGG